CUGACCUCGGAUCAGUCGUGAUUACCCGCUGAACUUAAGCAUAUCA
rnacentral:rRNA from 1 species